UACGUAGGGGGCGAGCGUUGUCCGGAAUCAUUGGGCGUAAAGCGCGUGUAGGCGGUCCGGUAAGUCCGCUGUGAAAGUCGGGGGCUCAACCCUCGGAUGCCGGUGGAUACUGUCGGGCUUGAGUACGGAAGAGGCGAGUGGAAUUCCUGGUGUAGCGGUGAAAUGCGCAGAUAUCAGGAAGAACACCCGUGGCGAAAGCGGCUCUCUGGAACGGUACUGACGCUGAGACGCGAAAGCGUGGGGAGCGAACAGG
rnacentral:rRNA from 1 species